rnacentral:rRNA from 1 species
CCAGUUUUAACUGGGAGUGGUAGGGGAGCAUUCUAUGCGGGAACCACGAAGUGGUAUCCUGACUUUGUCAGGAUGAAGGUGCGGCGUGAGCCGUGCUGGACUGCAUAGAAAAGCAAAUGUUGGCAUAAGUAACGAUAAGGUCGAUGAAAAAUCGGCCCACCGAAAGUCUAAGGUUUCCUGAGCAACGUUAAUCGUCUCAGGGUUAGUCGGACCCUAAGCCGAGGCUGAAAGGCGUAGGUGAUGGGAAACAGGUUAAUAUUCCUGUACCUGGUGAAUUUCGCUUGACUCUGAGGGGUGACGCAGGAGUGAAAGGUCAGCCACCUGCCGGCCUUAGGUGGUCUAAGCGUGUAGAUGGAGGAUGUAGGCAAAUCCGCAUCCUCGCUAACAUCGAGACGCGACGGGGAGUCCCUUUGGGACACAAACUGACCCUAAGCACACUGCCAAGAAAAACCUCGCAGAGGAGAAAUUCAUCAGUCCGUACCGCAAACCGACACAGGUAGACGGGAAGAGUAUUCUAAGGUGCUCGAGUGAGCCGUGGUUAAGGAACUCGGCAAAUUGACCCCGUAACUUCGGGAGAAGGGGUGCCCUUAGUAGGUGACAACCUUCGCGGUUGGAGCCGAAUAGGGUCGCAGUGAAAUGGGCCAAGCGACUGUUUAUCAAAAACACAGGUCUCUGCGAAGUCAAUUAAGACGACGUAUAGGGACUGACACCUGCCCGGUGCUGGAAGGUUAAGGGGAGGGGUUAGCGCAAGCGAAGCUGCGAACUGAAGCCCCGGUGAACGGCGGCGGUAACUAUAACCGUCCUAAGGUAGCGAAAUUCCUUGUCAGGUAAGUUCUGACCCGCACGAAUGGUGUAACGACUGGAGCACUGUCUCAACGAGGGACUCGGCGAAAUUGAACUAGUGGUGAAGAUGCCAUUUACCCGCACCAGGACAAAAAGACCCCGUGGAGCUUUACUGUACCCUGGCAUUGCGCUAGGACUUCGUCUGUGUAGGAUAGGUGGGAGGCUGUGAAGCCGGGGCGCCAGCUUCGGUGGAGCCGACGGUGAAAUACCACCCUGACGGAGUUUUGGCCCUAACCCUGAUCCGUCAUCCGGACAGGAGACAGUGCCAGGCGGGCAGUUUGACUGGGGUGGUCGCCUCCUAAAAGGUAACGGAGGCGCCCAAAGGUUCCCUCAGGCUGAAUGGAAACCAGCCGUUGAGUGCAAAGGCAUAAGGGAGCUUGACUGCAAGACUGACACGUCGAGCAGGGACGAAAGUCGGGCUUAGUGAUCCCACGAUGCUGAGUGGAAAGGUCGUGGCAAUCGGAUAAAAGCUACCCCGGGGAUAACAGGCUAGUGAGGCCCAAGCGUCCACAGCGACGGCCUCGCUCGGCACCUCGAUGUCGGCUCGGCGCAUCCUGGGGCUGAAUAAGGUCCCAAGGGUCGGCCUGUUCGGCCGUUAAAGCGUUACGUGAGCUGGGUUCAAACCGUCGUGAGACAGGUUGGUCUCUAUCCGGUGUGGGCGUAGGGGAUUUGAGGGGAGCUGUCCAUAGUACGAGAGGACCGGGAUGGACGCACCGCUGGUGUGCCAGUUGUUCCGCCAGGAGCACCGCNUGGGUAGCCAUGUGC